CAGCUAGUUGGUGGGGUAAUGGCUCACCAAGGCAACGAUCAGUAUCCGGCCUGAGAGGGCGGACGGACACACUGGGACUGAGACACGGCCCAGACUCCUACGGGAGGCAGCAGUGGGGAAUUGUUCGCAAUGGGCGCAAGCCUGACGACGCAACGCCGCGUGGAGGAUGAAGACCUUCGGGUCGUAAACUCCUUUCGAUCGAGACGAAUGGCCUCCGGGUGAACAAUCCGGAGGAGUGACGGUACCGAGAGAAGAAGCCCCGGCUAACUCCGUGCCAGCAGCCGCGGUAAUACGGGGGGGGCAAGCGUUGUUCGGAAUUACUGGGCGUAAAGGGCUCGUAGGUUGCCAACUAAGUCAGACGUGAAAUCCCUCGGCUUAACCGGGGAACUGCGUCUGAUACUGGAUGGCUUGAGUUUGGGAGAGGGACGCCGAAUUCCCAUGUGUAGC
rnacentral:rRNA from 1 species